GGGCUCGUGGUUUAGUGGUAUAAUACUCCCUUAGCAUCAGAUCUCCAAAGAGAUGAAGUGUGGGAGUGGUCCGGGGUUCGAUUCCCCGCGAGUCCA